UACGGAGGGGGCUAGCGUUGUUCGGAAUUACUGGGCGUAAAGCGCGUGUAGGCGGCCCUGCAAGUCGGAUGUGAAAUCCCACGGCUCAACCGUGGAAGUGCAUUCGAAACUGCAGGGCUAGAGUCCUGGAGAGGAAGGUGGAAUGCUUGGUGUAGAGGUGAAAUUCGUAGAUAUCAAGCGGAACACCAGUGGCGAAGGCGGUCCCCUGGGCCGGAACUGACGCUGAGGCGCGAAAGCGUGGGUAGCAAACGGG
rnacentral:rRNA from 1 species